rnacentral:rRNA from 1 species
GUGCCAGCAGCCGCGGUAAUACGUAGGGUGCGAGCGUUAAUCGGAAUUACUGGGCGUAAAGCGUGCGCAGGCGGUUAUAUAAGACAGAUGUGAAAUCCCCGGGCUUAACCUGGGAACUGCGUUUGUGACUGUAUAACUCGAGUGUGGCAGAGGGGGGUGGAAUUCCACGUGUAGCAGUGAAAUGCGUAGAGAUGUGGAGGAACACCGAUGGCGAAGGCAGCCCCCUGGGUCAACACUGACGCUCAUGCACGAAAGCGUGGGGAGCAAACAGGAUUAGAUACCCUCGUAGUCC